rnacentral:rRNA from 1 species
GAGCGGAAGGCCCUUCGGGGUACUCGAGCGGCGAACGGGUGAGUAACACGUGAGUAAUCUGCCCCAGGCUCUGGGAUAGCCACCGGAAACGGUGAUUAAUACCGGAUACGACAACUUCCUGCAUGGGAUGGUUGUGGAAAGUUUUUCGGCCUGGGAUGUGCUCGCGGCCUAUCAGCUUGUUGGUGAGGUAAUGGCUCACCAAGGCUUCGACGGGUAGCCGGCCUGAGAGGGUGACCGGCCACACUGGGACUGAGACACGGCCCAGACUCCUACGGGAGGCAGCAGUGGGGAAUAUUGGACAAUGGGCGGAAGCCUGAUCCAGCAACGCCGCGUGAGGGAUGACGGCCUUCGGGUUGUAAACCUCUUUCAGCACAGACGAAGCGCAAGUGACGGUAUGUGCAGAAGAAGGACCGGCCAACUACGUGCCAGCAGCCGCGGUAAUACGUAGGGUCCGAGCGUUGUCCGGAAUUAUUGGGCGUAAAGGGCUCGUAGGCGGUCUGUCGCGUCGGGAGUGAAAACCAGGUGCUUAACACCUGGCCUGCUUUCGAUACGGGCAGACUAGAGGUACUCAGGGGAGAAUGGAAUUCCUGGUGUAGCGGUGAAAUGCGCAGAUAUCAGGAGGAACACCGGUGGCGAAGGCGGUUCUCUGGGAGUAUCCUGACGCUGAGGAGCGAAAGUGUGGGGAGCGAACAGGAUUAGAUACCCUGGUAGUCCACACCGUAAACGUUGGGCGCUAGGUGUGGGAUCCAUUCCACGGGUUCCGUGCCGCAG